GACGAACGCUGGCGGCGUGCUUAACACAUGCAAGUCGAACGGAAAGGCCCUGCUUUUGUGGGGUGCUCGAGUGGCGAACGGGUGAGUAACACGUGAGUAACCUGCCCUUGACUUUGGGAUAACUUCAGGAAACUGGGGCUAAUACCGGAUAGGAGCUCCUGCUGCAUGGUGGGGGUUGGAAAGUUUCGGCGGUUGGGGAUGGACUCGCGGCUUAUCAGCUUGUUUGUGGGGUAGUGGCUUACCAAGGCUUUGACGGGUAGCCGGGCUGCGAGGGUGACCGGCCAAAUUGGGACUGGGAUGCGGCCCAGACCCCAAUGGGAGGGAAGGGAGGGGAAGAUUGUAUUGGGGGCGGGAGGCUAGUCUAACAACGCCGGGUGGGGGGAGAGGGGCAUGCGGUUGGGAAGCACUUCUCCCUUGUACGGAGCGAUAAUGACGGUAACGGGAGAAGAAGCACCGGCUAACUACGUG
rnacentral:rRNA from 1 species